AACGAACGCUGGCGGCAUGCCUAACACAUGCAAGUCGAACGAGACCUGCGGGUCUAGUGGCGCACGGGUGCGUAACGCGUGGGAACCUGCCCUUAGGUUCGGAAUAACUCCCCGAAAGGGGUGCUAAUACCGGAUAAUGUCUUCGGACCAAAGAUUUAUCGCCUUUGGAUGGGCCCGCGUUGGAUUAGCUAGUUGGUAGGGUAAAAGCCUACCAAGGCGACGAUCCAUAGCUGGUCUGAGAGGAUGAUCAGCCACACUGGGACUGAGACACGGCCCAGACUCCUACGGGAGGCAGCAGUGGGGAAUAUUGGACAAUGGGCGAAAGCCUGAUCCAGCAAUGCCGCGUGAGUGAUGAAGGCCUUAGGGUUGUAAAGCUCUUUUACCCGGGAUGAUAAUGACAGUACCGGGAGAAUAAGCGCCGGCUAACUCCGUG
rnacentral:rRNA from 1 species